GAUGGUUGGAAGAUCAUACAAAUGCCUGUCUGCCCUUGAGGGGAAGAAGAUGACAGGCUAGGAGCAAGGUCACCAGGGAACUAGAACAGGCACCAAGAACCACAUGGUGAAUGAUGCUCCUGGAGAGGUGGUACCCUCUGGGGAAUCAGGACUCCGAAGGAGAGGCUCUGACCCAGCAAGUGGAGAAGUGGAGGCCUCUCAGUUAAGAAGACUGAAUAUAAAGAAAGAUGAUGAGUUUUUCCAUUUCGUCCUCCUGUGCUUUGCCAUCGGGGCCUUGCUGGUGUGUUAUCACUAUUACGCAGACUGGUUCAUGUCUCUUGGGGUCGGCCUGCUCACCUUCGCCUCCCUGGAAACCGUUGGCAUCUACUUCGGACUAGUGUACCGCAUCCACAGCGCCCUCCAAGGCUUCAUCCCCCUCUUCCAGAAGUUUAGGCUGACAGGCUUCAGGAAGACUGACUGAGGCCACUUCCAGGUGGGCAGCAGAGGCAGGCCCCGGUGUGACCACCACUGCGACCCCUGAGCCCAUAAGGGCAGAGCAGCAUUCUGAGAGACGCACAGGAGACCAAGCCAGACCAAUAAACAGAACACUUUUCCUUC
rnacentral:sRNA from 1 species